GAUGAAGAACGCAGCGAAAUGCGAUACGUAAUGUGAAUUGCAGAUUUCAGUGAAUCAUCGAAUCUUUGAACGCACAUUGCGCCCGCCAGUAUUCUGGCGGGCAUGCCUGUUCGAGCGUCAUUUCAACCAUCAAGCCCCCGGCUUGUGUUGGGGACCUGCGGCUGCCGCAGGCCCUGAAAAGCAGUGGCGGGCUCGCUGUCACACCGAGCGUAGUAGAUUUCAUCUCGCUCAGGGCGUGCUGCGGGUUCCGGCCGUUAAACCACCUUCAUAACCCAAGGUUGACCUCGGAUCAGGUAGGAAGACCCGCUGAACUUAAGCAUAUCAAUAAGCGGAGGA
rnacentral:misc_RNA from 1 species